UUCUACAUUUUAUUUAUUUAUUUUUAUUUCAAUUUUAUCCAUAUUUGUGAAAUUCAAAUUACACACUUCAUGGUAGAUUUAGUAUGUCUAAUUUCAAUUUGUAUGCCCUUAACUGGCUGUAGCUUUUCCUAGAGAGAAAAACGAAUCAGUUAUUUUUUACAGAUCCAUCUGGCAAUCCAACAAAAUGCGUUUGGCUUUUCUAAUCAUCGUUCUAUUUCAUGUUAAUUUAGUUGCUGGUAAUCUCUUUAGUACUAUAGUGUCAACCGCAUUAUCCCCAGUCAAUUACGUUGGAGGCCAUGUGAAAAACAUCAGUAGAACACUAGCAUUACUUGGAAUUAAGCUACAAAUAUUGGGCGAAUCUUGGAAGGUGCCAGAAGAAGAUCCUUAACAUAAUCGUUUAAUUUUGUGCUAUAUGUAAAAUUAAAAAAUAUAUAUUAUCAUUUUCAUCAGCAAA